CUUUGCCAGGAGAAAAUUGACUGCUGAGCAGUGUACAUCUGAAGAAGGAUGCUUUGUCAGAUGAGAUUGGAAGAUUUAGAAGAAACCAUAAUUCCAAGGUUAAAAGAUUAAUUUACAGGAACCUAGGAGCAACCUCUGAAUCAUCCUAGAGAGUGCCUUCCAUGUUUCAGGGAAUUGCUAAAAGGUGAGUCACUGUUGGUUCCGGGAAAGUCUUU
rnacentral:lncRNA from 1 species